rnacentral:rRNA from 1 species
GUGCCAGCAGCCGCGGUAAUACGUAGGGUGCAAGCGUUGUCCGGAAUUACUGGGCGUAAAGAGCUCGUAGGCGGUUUGUCGCGUCGUCUGUGAAAACUCGAGGCUCAACCUCGAGCUUGCAGGCGAUACGGGCAGACUUGAGUACUGCAGGGGAGACUGGAAUUCCUGGUGUAGCGGUGAAAUGCGCAGAUAUCAGGAGGAACACCGGUGGCGAAGGCGGGUCUCUGGGCAGUAACUGACGCUGAGGAGCGAAAGCGUGGGGAGCGAACAGGAUUAGAUACCCUAGUAGUCC